CAGCCGUAAACUAUGCUCGCUAGGUGUCAGGCAUGGCGCGACCGUGUCUGGUGCCGCAGGGAAGCCGUGAAGCGAGCCACCUGGGAAGUACGGCCGCAAGGCUGAAACUUAAAGGAAUUGGCGGGGGGAGCACAACAACGGGUGGAGCCUGCGGUUUAAUUGGACUCAACGCCGGGAAGCUCACCGGAUAAGACAGCGGAAUGAUUGCCGGGCUGAAGACUCUGCAUGACUAGCUGAGAGGAGGUGCAUGGCGUAGAC
rnacentral:rRNA from 1 species